GGAGGGUGCGAGCGUUAAUCGGAAUUACUGGGCGUAAAGCGCGCGUAGGCGGCUUGGUCAGUCGGAUGUGAAAUCCCCGGGCUUAACCUGGGAAUUGCACCCGAUACUGCCAGGCUGGAGUAUGGGAGAGGGAAGUGGAAUUUCCGGUGUAGCGGUGAAAUGCGUAGAUAUCGGAAGGAACACCAGUGGCGAAGGCGGCUUCCUGGCCCAAUACUGACGCUGAGGUGCGAAAGCGUGGGGAGCGAACAGGGAUUAGAUACCCUGGUAGUCCACGCCGUAAACGAUGAGAACUAGAUGUUGGGAGGGUUUAGCCUCUCAGUGUCGCAGCUAACGCGUUAAGUUCUCCGCCUGGGGAGUACGCCGGCAACGGUA
rnacentral:rRNA from 1 species